CUUCUCUUCCCUCCAUUCUCCUUCCCCCAGCUGGAAUGAGUAACAUUCUGGCUCUGCUUCUAGAAGCCCUAACUCCUAAAUUAACACCCAAAAAAAGAAAGAAAAAUGGAACCCAAUCCAAGCCCCAGAAUAAGUAAAAGUAUGGUUUUUACUAGACAACAGCACCAUCGCCAUUACUGGGAGGAAGGCGGCAGCACACUUGGCUGUCAGCACACGGGGGAACAAUGGUCCAGUAUCUGACUCUGAGGGAACUAAAGAAGUAGGUUUGCCGAUUUUCUCAUCAGAGGAUCAAAGGACCCUGCAGCCGCUCCAGCCCAGCACCGAAAAGCUCUGAAUGGAGGGCGUUGUGUGGAGAGAGGCGACUGGGAAACGGGAAAGGCUGUUCCUGCUGCUCUCCCAUCCGCCUCCCAUUGGCCUGAAUUGGUCUUGUGAGCCAACAAAGAAAAGUCACUUCCACCUUGGAGAGAAAUUUGUCUCGGUUUGCAUCUGCUCCAGUUGUCACUUCACCCAGCUUCUCUCUUCUGCUGUUGGCCUUGCCCUGUGGGUUCGACCCAGGGGGACAGAGGAAAAUGGACUGGGAAUUAAUCAGCCAUCUUUCUGGCAGCAUAACUAUUGGUGUGGUUGGUGACCAAAGAGAAGCAGCAUGGCCUAAUGGAAAGAUCAUGGGCUUGGGAGUCAGAGGGUCUGGGUUCUAACCAAAGAUCUGCCAUUGCUUGCUGUGUGACCUUGGGUAAGUCAAUUAAUUUUUUGAUCCCUCACCUUCCCUAACUGUAAAUUAGGGAUUAAAUACCUUUCAUUCAUUCAAUCAUAUUUCCUGAGCGUUUACUGUGUGUGGAGCACUUUACUAAGUGCUUGGAAGAGUACAAUACAUCAAUAAACACAUAGACAUAUCUCUGUUCUCCCUCCUACUUAGACUACUGAGCACCACGUGGGAAAGAGACUGAGUCCGACAAAAAAAUUUAUCUACCCCACAGCUCAGAACAGUGCUUGCUAAAUGAGUGCUUAAAUACCAUAAUAAUAACAAAAAAGGAGCUGCAAAUGCUGGAUUAAAUUUUACAGGAUAAUAGAGAACUCUCAAAGGGCAGGGCUGAGGGUGCCUAUCACCUUACGGAUAUUUUCCUGACUGGGUCCUACUAUGCUGAUUUCUCAUGUUGGCAUCAGAGAAGAACGUGCCAACAUGAUGCAGGUAUUUUGGCUGCAGCCACAAGGCACCUGAGGGACAUUUCGGUUCAGCAGUGAAUGAAGCCAACACUUGGGAGGUUCCGGGAGCCUGGGGCUGUUCCUCCUUCCUCUCUUUUCCCACCUGUGUCUCUGCAGGUGUGUCUCCUGACCUCUUGAGAAGCCUGAUACUAUAUCCAGGAUAAACUGGUAGUUCUUAGAGGCAGGAAAUGCCCUGCUGCAACAGAGAUUAAAAAAAUGACUUAAGAGCAUGACAGCUGUGAAUUUGAGUUCAGGAGCUUCCAAUGCCAUGAAAGGUGAUUUAGGAACCUCGGUGAAAGAGAAGGGUCAUUUGGUCCAUUGACAGUGGUAUGUUGGCUUUACACACUGCCCAUAACCAUUGCCAACCUUCACAUGCUUGGUCUGAGAUUCCUCUUUGCACAUCUUGUGAAGCACUGGAAAUAACCUUCCAAUUUUGGCAGUACUUGAAAUAUACAACAAUUCCCCAGCUCUCAGCUCCUUUGCUAGAAAGUCAUCAUAUUGG
rnacentral:lncRNA from 1 species